AAAAAAAGAGACAUAAAGACUUUUGAAUUCAAUGGGGGUAAAUAUGUAAAAGAACAUUUAUAGGGAUAUAAAUGUCCAUGCACUAUUCAUAAGAGUAUUGUUUCACUUUUUAUAAGGUAAGGAAAAAGAAAUACAAAAAAAACACAAUAACUUGUUGCUGCAAAAAAAAAAAAAAAACAAGAACUAUCAUACCUACACUACAUUCUCUUCUUGACUUCUUCAUUCCUCAAAAAACAUAUCAAAUUUACCCUAAUAAAAUCGCUUGAAAAUAUCAAAUUUCCCCAAUUUUGUGCGCUGAAUCUCUACAACCUCUUUCAAUAUUAAUCCCGAAUCUUUGUUUGAAGAACCCCAAACAUUGAAUUUGUUGCCCUUUUGCUGAACUUGCUCUUAAAAUUUGCUUAAUUCUUCAAGUUUUUUGUGAAUUUCAAUCGACCCAUACAAUUUGCCGAAUUUCCUCAUCCUUAGAAUUGUCUUGCUCCACUAAGGUGUGUUGCGGGUUGUUGUUGUGUCUUGCUGGGGUUGGUAGCUACUGCACCUGAUGGGUUAUGGUUUGUUGACUAUACUGUUAGCGGAAAUAUCUCGAAAUCUUGGAAGGCACACUACAACCAUCCAUACAUGAAUUGGGCCGAGGUGCCACUUAUGGUUAGGGAUCAUUGGUUAACUAAGUUUUAGAUUAGCUCAGACAAAGUCUACUUAGAGUUUGUAGGUGGGCAAAAGAAAGGAAAAGUUUACGGUUUAGGGAGCGCUUCACAAAUGUACUUCAAGAACGACCCUACUUUUCACCCUACUACAUCAUCUUCCAUUCCUCCCAUGAUUUCUCAACUAAGCUCUCAAGUUGAAGAAUUAAAGAAGAUAGUGGAAGAAAACCAUGACAAGGCAGAAGAAAGCAAAAAAUGGCGGCAUAAAGCUUAUAUGCCAAGGAAAUUGCUGAAAGUCAUGAGAUAGAAAAGGCAAAAUGGAAGAAGGAAAAAAUGGCUAUGCACAAAAAUUGAAGGUUAUGAAAACACUUGUCUAACAUUAUUGUCCUACUAAGCCUCCUACGCCUACUGUCACCUCAUCUCAUGAUAUAACUAUGUGAUUUUUAUUUUCUUGGUGAUUUUUGAAAUAAUUAGUCAUAUGGUUUAGACUAUCUUUUUUGAUACGUAGUUAAUCUAUUGGAUAUUUGAAUAAAAUUGACAUUUUGGUUAUCUGAAUUUAUGCUUUGGGGUUUUUAUUUUA